rnacentral:rRNA from 1 species
UACGGAGGGGGCUAGCGUUGUUCGGAAUUACUGGGCGUAAAGCGCACGUAGGCGGCUUUGUAAAGUUAGAGGUGAAAGCCCGGGGGCUCAACUCCGGAAUUGCCUUUAAGACUGCAUCGCUAGAAUUGUGGAGAGGUAAGUGGAAUUCCGAGUGUAGAGGUGAAAUUCGUAGAUAUUCGGAAGAACACCAGUGGCGAAGGCGACUUACUGGACACAUAUUGACGCUGAGGUGGCGAAA